UAAAGCAUGCAAUGGUUUUAAGCAAGGACAUUCAGACAAUGAUGCCCCAAUACGUAUUUUGGAUCUCAACCUACGUGUUAGAGAGCUGGGAAUGCAAGGAGCAACUUCCCCAGGAGUUCUCUUCCCUGCACAAAUAGCAGAUCUGUCAAGGAAGAAGCUGCCGUUGGUCCUCCUAUUGAAGCUCAAUUUACCAAGCAAGAUGAAAUAUAAACCAUACAAGAAGAGAAUGAAAAUCAAACAGAAUAUCCAGGGCCUGGAGGGUCUAGGCAAAGUGUUCCCUGAUUUGGGAACUGGCUCCUAGCCAGAGUCUGCUAUUGUGUAUCACCUAACAAGUGCCCAGGCCUGUCACUGUGACUCACAUUGGCAUCUGUCAGCACCCUGUGUCCCUUACAUCAUUCAUAACCAACAGAUGUCCUUGUGGUUUCACGCUGUCCCAGCCCAAUUCUUAGUAAAACCACUUGCAAUUGACACUGGCGCUGAAUGGUGAGAAGAAGUCAGAACAGAACACAAACAAACCAGCAUCAAGGUUGAACUGAUGCUCUCACUAGCCGAUGAAGAGAAAAUCUUGAUAUGGCGUUCUCCUUGUAUGACUUCCAAAACUGUUGGAAAUAGUCGUGAUUUAUUUCUGGAAAGGCAUAGAAAGGCUCCGGAUGCCUUGUGGAGUCAGGAAGACGGGGUGCCUACAAGUUCUGGUUAUUAGGAGACAGUAGAAAUCUAAGAGGAGGAGAAAGGGAGGGAUGGGAGAGAGAGGUAGGGAUGGGAGGAGGGAGGAGGAAGGAAAGGGAGAGAAGGAGGAGGGAGGAGAGGAAGAGAAAGGGGAAGAGAGAAAAGGCCAAAACCUCAGCUUCCCUUCCCCAUGUUCAACCUUUCCUCUGUGCUUGCCCAAACCAGCUUUAACCUCAAUCACAUUUGGGACCUGGCUUCUGGGAGCCCUGUCCCAAGCUACUGUGUAACUGGAGGGCAUCCUGGCGGGGAAGCAAGGGUGCUUUGCGCUUUCUGCUAAGCCCUACAGCUGUUGGAAUCUCCAGACUCCAUCCGUGAAUCUCUUCUCCCUUCCUCACUUUAGGAGACGAUGCUGAACAGUUCCGUCCUUCUCCUGACCUCUGAACUCCAAAUCCUGGAAGAGCUUGUCCUUCUCUUCUGAUCACCCCCUCUCUAUGUCUUCAACACUCCUCCUCCAAACCAUACAUCUAGUAUAAUUAAGGUUCUCCCACCUAAGAGUCUCUUUUCACACUUAAAGAAACACUGUUUAUUUGAGACAGGGUCUCCUGUAGCUAUGGCUGGCCAUGAAUGUACUACAGGGACAAAGAAGACCUUGGAGCUCUCAUCCCCCUGCCUUCACUUCCUAGAUUCUGAAGGUAAAUCCAGGAUUGCAGGCACGCAUGCUCCAUCAAGUCCAUUUUAUAUGCUGCUGGGCGUCAACCCAAGGCUUUGUAGAUGUCCCACCCCUUUUGAGUGGUCAGUUGUGACAAAUAGUGGUUAGCGAAGUGUGCUUAUCCAUUACCAGUUCUGCUUCAAUGCAUUCAAAACUCUUUUGUCCACCAAAUCCCAAGAAGUAUACUCCCUGGUAUCAGACAGCGCCUCCUCUGGCUAAGGUAGAGAUGUUCUGUUUUGCUGUAUUGAUUCCACGGUUCACCCUACAGCAUUUCAUCUGGCCCACAAGUAUCUCUUCUUAUCGCAUUCUUUUCCAUGGAGAAACUUCUCAGAGGAGAGGAAGUUGGAGGCUGGCAUGUGGACGUAGAGAUUGUACCCUGGGAAGGUGGUGCCUAUGUGAAAUGCUGAAGGGGACAUGCAUACCUGUCAGAGCGACUAUGAAGAAAAGUUCAGGGCGGAAGAGCGAGAGAAGAGGGUCUGUGGCAGGUUUGAGUGGCAAAUGAAACCAGCAUAGUGACAGAAGAGAAAAUGCUGAGAACGGGAGGCACUGAGGGGCAGCGACAGGGCAGGUCUCUCGGGGCAGCUUGUAUGAGGCCAAACGCGUUAUCAGGAAAGUUGUCUUACUGCCAGCGAGAUGUAAAAGUGUUGAGCGUUUUUGUGGCAGAUACGUGACCAAUCUGCUCCACGCUCUCCAGUGUCUGAGCUCUGAUAUGCAGCUGACUCAGGCCAGGACAAAAGCACGAGUCAGGGGAGAUGCCAAUAGACACAACAAACUGGCCAAAUGGGAUGGCGGGAACUACCACACCUUAGACGUGCUGACACUCCCCGGUUUCCUCAGGCUUCUCUGACCUCCAUUUUCAGCCCCAUAUGCAGGCUUUUCUUCUUCCAGAAUGCUUGGUGGCUUCUAAGUCACCCCUGGCCCUCCUGUUAGUCAACGCCGUACCUUUGCACACUUUAUCACGUGAUCAUCCUGGCUUCUGUGCUUGUCACUGCACACACCUCUCCUCUUGACUCCUGACCCGAACAAAUCUCAGACCACCCAUUGGAUCCUUCAAGGUCAGCAUAUUCUGAAGCUAUUUGCCACCAUUUAAGAUUCUCAGGAGGGCCUCGUGCCCCGGCCUGCACAUCCGUUCUGCCUUUGGAACAUUAUCGUGUAGGUAGAGGCUGCCACUCCCCUCUUCUGCCUAUCAAACUGGAGGUAAGAGCUGUCAGGGAUGCUUUGUUGCCUGACAUCAUCCUCGGGUGACAUUCUCUGACGUCCCUUUUCACUUGGACACUCCACUAUGCCAGUAUCUUGGUUUCUCGUCACUCAUGAUUAAUUCUGUGACUGGUUCUUAAUCCCUGAGAGUCAUAUAUCCAAGUGUUCUUUUAGAAACGUACCUAAACGACUUCGAUCGGUGUUUAUUUGGUGAUAACCGAUUAUUCCAGAUUUUCUCAUCCUUACCAGCUUUGUGUAGAAAGACAUACAAGACCCUGGCCACAGGAAGGUCUAGGAGUACAUAAUCUCUCCCAAGACUAGGCAGGUAUGAGCCAACUAGAUGACAGUGUUAGCAUAUCUGGUGAAGUCCUUUGUAGACCUCUUACAGGCGUCAGGAUCUAGGACCUCUGCGCUGGCCUAAGUGAACAUUCUGAGCCCCUGACGGUGGCUAGUUCAUCACAGUUUCCAGACCCAGGGUCUGAGGCCAUGGCCUUCAGGGCCCAGCGACUCCCUGGAAGUCAUCUAGAGAUUAGAGCCCAAAGCUUCUAGGCUACUUUCCAUAUCCAUUAGUCUGACCAGCAGAGCUGAUAGUCUGAGAUAAGCACAAACACAGAAGCGACAGUCUAAUGGGCAAGGAAGAGGAGAAGAAAGGGAAACACUUAAUGGUGUCUCACAUCUGACUCCAUGGCCCUUGGGUGCUGUCUUCUGCCUGUAGGCACUCUCUAAUUAGAGUUCUUGUCUGAUGAUGGUCAAACUUCCUACCUGGGCCAGAAGUUUCUACUGAGAAAUCCCUCACUUCCUCUCUUCAUUUAGUACACUUCCUCCCCCAUCUCAUAUCCUUCCAGUGGCCAUGUCUCACAUCAACCAACGGACCAAGCAUCCCUAGCUGCCUCCCCAUUUUACCCUCUUUUACUGUGGACCUUAGCAUUCUUCAAUGCGACUAAAUCAGCUAGUCUUCCUCGCCCUUUCCCUGCCAAGUGCUUCAAGCCCUUCGGGACAGUUUGAAACUGUUGUGUGCUAACAGUAGAGCCUUCGACUUUCACCUGCUAUCUCUGUCCCCCAUGUCCUCUGCCUAGGAUGGGUGGCUGCUCACCGAGACUCUAGUCAUAUGUCCUUCUAUGUGUCUCAUUCGGCUUCCUCUUGCCGACGCCCCAACAAGAAGCCCCCAUUCAUCAGAAGGGUGUGAUAAAACGCGCCUGUAAUCCCCACACGAGGUAGACGGAGGUAGGAGAAUCAGAAGUUCACGGUCAGCUGCAUGAGUUCAUGGCCAACCCAGGCUAUAGGAGGAAAUUUAGUAAGAACCAGCUGUAACUGUUCUGCAGCUUCCUUGGGAGAUGUUCAAAGUAGAGUGUUCAAAAAGAGUAGUGCCGGCAUAAGGGUGGUCUGACUGGAUGCUUGACGGACAAUCCUUCCUUAAGGCUUCCAGGGCCAUAUGGAGUAGAGCUAAUGCCAGUAGAAGUCAGGUGUCCCCAUCUCAAAACACCUUUCCCCACUUACAGGAAGCUAAAUAUCAAAAGAAACAUUGCUGAUAACAUUGCCUCAUCAAUAAAUACUAUUAGCGACUUUAACAGUGACUGGCCUCUGUCCGGUACUCCAGGCGGAGUGGAUUCCACCUCCGACUAUCUACUUGUGGCAUUUUAGAAAAGCAACCUUGGAGAGACAAAGGAAAGUGCCUGCUUCCUUCUACCAAACGAACAAAACAUGAAAAAGACAAACCAGUCACACCGUGUGUCUGUCUCUUCAUCUCCUUUCUUCCCCAGCUCUUUCUCCCUUACUUAGCUUAAGCGUGCUGCCUUUCCUGGGGCUGUGUGAAGAAGGUUAUCGUAAACCUGUGUUUGGGUUGGAGCUUCAGAUGAUCAGGUCCUGGGGCAUCCCUGAGAUGGUCUCUCUGGAUUGGGAAAGAGGACAUCUUUAAUGGGGCACAUGAGGCCCAUUCGGCCUGUGAGCGAAUGGGUUUGCAGAUUACAGGAAUCAAAGAAGACCAGAGCUUUUUCUCAGGGCAGCAGAUUCCUAUGACAAGAAGGGUACAAGUGUGGUCCAUAAUAAAGAAACAAAACAGCCACUCUCCCUCAAGCCCAGCAUGGUUGAGAGCAACGAGGAAAAAAUCCCUGCUUCCCAGAAUGGGGCAGGAAUGAGAAACAUUCCUCAUACCCUGGAGUAAGACGAGCAUAGCAGGACGUGAAGUGAGUCUGAUGUUUGCCUGAAUGCAUGAUCCAUUUUUUUUCAUGAACCCUGUCUGCUACUGUGUGGGUCUUUUGGGCGUUCUGUAAUGGGAAGCCAUAGAGUAGUAGUUCUCAACCUGUGGGUCGAGACCCCUUUGGGAGGGGUCAAAUGUCCCUUUCACAGGGGUUACACAUCAGAUAUUCUGCAUAUCAGAUAUUUACAUUAUGACUUAUAAUGGUAGCAAAAUCACAGAUCUGAAGUAGCAACAAAAAUAAUUUUAUGGUUGGGGGGGGGCGUCACCACAUAAGGAACUGUAUUAAAGGAUCGCAGCAUCGGAAGGUUGAGAACCAUUGUUCCACUGUUUUUAAACUCUCCUCAAAUUAUCGCUUUUCCAUUUCUCAUCCUAUUUGACUAACAGUAACUGCUAUUUUAGUCAUUUAAAGAUCUGGGCAAACUGCUUUCCAAACAUCCCAGUGUUCCAAAGCUGGAUAGGAGAUCCCAGAAAGACUAGACGGAGCUCCACAGGGAAAGCCAUCUCGUUUUAAUAAACAAGGCCACGCUCUUUGGUCUGAGCUCAAAUCGAAGCGAACUUUGCACGGUUCUAGCUGCGGGCUUUCGUGAUGCUGAAAAUCAAAGGGCUGUAAGACGCAGAGAACCAGGGAGGCCGAGCGGGGAGGUUUUAUCCUAUGUCGGCAUGCGAACGCGCAGAUUUUAUGAGAGGCGGUGUUUACCAAAAGGUGGGAUUUAUAGCUCCUUGUAAUUUACAGCAUUUGAAUGUAAUGUGAUAGUGCGAAUAAAUUUUUCCCUUCCCUUGUGAUGAGCUCAUGAAUAAACGUGCAAAGGACUCGAAGCUGGAGACAGAGCUGGGAAGAGGAGGCAGAGAAUGAAUCAGCGAGUGCCUGCCCUCGGCAGACACUGUCCCCCGCCUAUGACAUCGGCUCGCGGCUCUGCAUGAAGACUCAAACACAUUUAUGUGGGACAUGGCGCUGAACAAUUCCCAUCCGAGGCUGCUCGGCACACCGUGUGACAAAAAUGAAAACGCCAUUGGUACAAAAGUUCUACCAGGCUUCAGACAACUGUGCAUUUCUCAGGGCUGGAGCGCACAGUGCCUGUCCCACGACGGACGCCAGGGGUGUAAGAAGAGGGAAAGGUUUAACUUGGUUAGAAUUCUGGUUUUUAUGAGGAACCAUUAUGCCUUCUGCUCACGGGCUGUUAAAUUUGGAAAGCUUUUAGGUAGAAAAAUUAAUUUAAUGGACUCAACAAGGUCAAACGUGAAGGUAUCAAGUGACAGGAAGUUGUACUGAAGACACUUCGAGCGUGACGGAGCUGACCUCCAUUCUCCCACAAAGGCUGGUUCGUCGGUUGAUCCUUGCUCAUGGAGAGCAAGAAGCAGAAUGAGCUCUGCGCUCGUCUGCUACAGUGUUUGUUAGCUCUCCAUCUCUCCAAAGGAUUCUCAAGCCCCUGGAUAAUUCCAGGCACAAUUUCAGGGCUCCAAGCUCCGUGGACGAAGCGGUGGACAGGCUGGCCUCCAGGUUUCCUUUCAACUGUAAAGGGAGAGAAAAAAAUGUGACUCUUGGGGGAAAGUUGUGCUUCCAAAUUGGUGACUUCUUUUAAAUUUCCCAAUAAAAGACAAACUAGUUAAGUUCAACUGGAUCUUGUUUCAAGAAGGAAAGGCACCAAUACUAGGGAGUCAUGAACACACAUGGAGAGAGAGACCCACACAA